GCUGCAAAGUCACCCCCCGUUCCGCCCCUGCCCUCCCGAGCCCCAGGGAAAAUGCUUUCCAGCAUUGUCGAGCUUCUGAAAGACAAAACUUGUGAUUUGACACUUGCAUCCAGAAAAGGUUUCUGUCUAGAUUAGCAAAUGCCUAAAUUGUUCUUGGUUACAUCCCAUGACCGGUUUUAGGCAGUGACUUUAUACUGCUUUUAGGAUUUUCUUGUACAAUGGUGAGAAAAUAGGCAGGUCUGAGAGUGGUUUCACUUUUUUUCUACUUCACGUUCCAUAAGAUUCUUUUAUCCGAGCACUUGUUUUAAAAUUCUACCGUAGGCGUUUAUGGUUCACUUUUUUUUUCUUUGCAGCACCCGGGACUCUUUUUUUUCUCUAAAUCGGGAGUAAAUAUAGCUGAGUAAAAUUACCUUGGUUUUCUUCCUUCUUUUUAAACUGAAUUGUUUUUAUUAAAAAUCCUAUUUGAAUAUGUGGGAAAAGUGGGGAUGUCCUGUAAUAUAUAUUCUAGCUUUUCUUGUUUACAGGGUACUCACAAAAUCUGUCUCCCUUAGAGUCCCACAGGAACGUUCUCAGUGCGAUCUCUAUCAAGGUAUGUAUUUACAAUGCUAUGAGUCUUGAUAAAUGGGAGAAGAGCCCAAGAGAAAUUUUUCAUCCCUUGAUAUAAAAGGGAUCGGUGAAUUUUAACUUUGGAGUCCUCUAUGCUAAGGAUGCUCAGCUUACAGAUGAUGAAAUGUUCAGUAAUGUAUUUGCUGCAGCUCUGCUUACCCAAGCUUUGGGUUCCUUCUGUCCCACUGUGAGUUGCCCAAUUUGGUUGCAUCUGGUGAAAUUCACCCUGAGACCUUACAGAACCAGCUCCAACUACGUGAGAGCCAUUUGCAGUUCUCUCCAGACGCCUGGAGAAUGGGCGACGUUUCUGAGGAUCCGGCGAGCGUGCUUCUAUCAAAACUCAGUCUGUGAAAUUCCUGGGGAAAACCCUUCUGUGUCCUGAAGGGUUCAAACUCUGGUGAGGAUCCAGUUAUCAGGUGCUCACCUGGAUGAUUCCAGCCCUUAAAGUGAACACUUGUACUCUUGCCCUGUAGUUUACAUCUAUUGUAUUUUUGUUAUUUUGCAAGAUUUUUUGUCUUUGCAAAAUAUUGUGCAUUUCACUCUUUGGAACCUCUCAGAUGGUUCUUUGGUGCAGCACCACCCCAUGGGACACUUGGCUGCUGUCCUGAAGGGGUUGAUCGCUAGAUUUGUAAAUCCUGGAGAGUUUAUAAGUCUUCUGUCCCCAGGGAGGUACCAUGCUUUGUUUACUUUUGUUCUGUUGGUUAGGCGCUGCUUCUCGUUGCAAGUAUGAAUUUCAAACUGCCCUGUUCUUAUUUUAACUGUUUUCCUGGUUCUCUCCGUCCGGCAGGGAAAGACUCUCGUAUCCUUGUCCUCGGGCUCGGUGCUGUCCAAGAAGAUACGGAGGCUAAAAAAUCAUAAGAAGCAAAAUAUGACUUCAGGGAAAAGAAGCUGGAGAGAACAGAAGACUCAUCACGGCGGGACAGCGUGAGGACUGAAAGUGUAAGAAGAUGUGGAGGGAAAGAGAGAAUCUGACAGGAGCAGCGAACGCACGAGUGCACGAAUUUUGCUUUUUGCUUGGAUGUAAACUCAGGAGUUGAGAGGAAUUUGGGAGUGAGAAGGGACAUUUUAGAAGGAGAAGAAGAAAAAGAAGUUGUUGUUGUUACAGUCCUGGCAAAAUCUUUUGUUCUAGCUAAUAAAAGAAGUUAGUUUAAAAAACAAAAAGGAAAAAAUGUAGUGUUUUUUUUUUCCUUCACUAUGAUAUGCAUUGGUGGUAUAUGGUGUGUUGUUUUAUUUCUUGGUAUUAUUAACUCGGUGUAAAUUGUUUUUUGAGUGAAGCUGACUUUCUGGAUGGGUUGGUUUGUAUUUGAGGCAGGAUUAAUUUCAAUAGGGUUCUUUCAUAGAUUUCUGAUGGGUAUUACUGGGAUUUUGGUUUUGUCUACUGUAUGUAUAAACAUAGAGCUUUGGUAGGGCCAGCUGGGCUGCUGGAGUUUUGGGUGUGAAUUUAUUAGAUGGCUUUUGUUAAAUGCAGUUUUUAAUUUUUGAAAUGUUUUUCAAUGUAGUGGUCUUAAGGUGGUUUUUAAGAAUUCCUUGUAUUGUUUUCUGUUGUGUGUAGUUGGUGUAUGAUAAGGGAUGUGGUGUGACUUCUUGAACGCUAUGGUUUUGGUGUUCCUAAGUUCUGAUUUCUUUCUGGUUCGAUAGUUUUUUUAAUUUUUAUUUUUUGGGACAGGGGCAUUUAUAUGGUGGGUUUUUGUAGGCAAUACGUUUUUUAAUUUGGGUAGUGAUAUUUUUUAGUAUUUUAAUGGUUUAGGUUUUUUAUUUUCGUGGGUUUUAUGUGGAGAGUAUUAUUAAUAAUUGGUUAGCUGAGAAAGGCCAUACUGACAUAAUGCCGCUGGUUAAGCUGAAGGAGAAAAGUCAGCAGUCAGCAAGCUGAAAGGAAAAGUCAGCAGUGACCUUGCUGCAACAUGAGGAUAGGGAGUAGAGAUUAGUCCUGAAUAUAUCCUAAGAAUAUGUAGAAAGUAUCAAAAGUAGAACCAUAGGAAUGUAGAAGUAGGCGUAGAUGCUGAUAUAUAACUGACCAAUCCUGAGCUCAACUUUUGCAAUAUGUAUGAAGCUCAUUAUUAACUGUAUUUAAC